CACCCCUUUCAAAUAUUUUAGUGCUACCAUCUUUCCAGUGUUUUAUUGUUAUUAUUAUCAUCUCUACUACAAAUUUACAGCACUAAGAAACAAAUUCAGAGCCCCGAGCCUGCUGUGAAAACACUCUACCCCCGAGCUACAUCCCCACCCCUCACCUUUAUGUUGUGUAUUUCUAUUGUUGACUCAUAUAUUUGUACUUAGGGCACUAGAUUCAAGAAUAGUAACAACAAAUAUUUCUUUAGCUUCGGUAAAAAUUCUUCCAAUGAUUUACCAAGUAGUGUUUCUGCUCUGGAGAGAUUAUAGUGUAAAAAUGCCCAAGAGAAACCUAACAAAAUUCAAUAUACACUCUUGAUAAAAUACACAAGGAGCCAACGAAUAUGUCUUGCAUCUUGCACAUCUCUCUUCUGGGCUCUUAUAAGCACUCACACUCCUUAUCCCUCUAAGUCUACCUUGUGGUGUUUUGUUACCAGAGAAGGUAGGCUGCUCUGUUCUCAAGCCCUGUCUACAUCGUCAUAAAUAGUCUCUUCAGAAGCUCUCUGAGACGCCUGUGGCUGAACAUGCCUUCUCUAUCCAGGGGCAGCUAAGACUGACACAGAUAUUUUUCAUUUACAUCUGUAUCCUUACAUACCAGAGCUGACCUAAGAGCCUGCCUUCAUCAAGAUAAGGGUGAACUGGAAUGUGAAUCAACGUGGUGCACUCAUCUUUCGGCUUUAAGGAAGUCCUCUUGCUGAUUACCAUUCUGUUUCCUGUCACUACAGUUAAAUACACCAGCCACUGCAAAGAUCAGCCGCUGGUCCCAGACCACACAUGAGGUUGCGGUAGCGCAUGGAUAAAGGCAUUAGAUUCGCUGGAGACUCGCUGGUCACUAGAGAGCUGGAAGGCUUUUACUGUCUCUCUCUCUCUCUCUCUCUCUCUCUCUCUCUCUCCCUACUUCUCAUGAGGAGACUUUUGCCUGAAGUUCUCCCUCCCACUAUUACUGGCCAGAGGUGGUUGCAUAACUGCUCACAAAUUACGCAUAUGAGAAAAUAACAACAUUCCCAAUAUUGAUUAAGAUAAUCAGCUUAAACUCCCCAAAGCUGGACCUGACAUUGUUCCCAUGAAGCCUAUUAUCAUGUGGUGAAUGGUGGGAUCUAAAAUAAAGUCUGAGGUCUCUUAGAACGGGAAAUAGAGAGGAAUUUUAGUUUGACUAAUCAAUGUUUAUUCUAAUUAUUAUCUCUCUCCCAUACCGCCUAUAGUGUUUUGGAAAUAUUUCCAGUUGAGCAGCAUUCUUGUGGUAUUAUGUUUCUACAUAUUUACCUCUCGCCUAUCUCCCUCUAGCUUCAAGAUGACCAAAUGGCCCACUCAAUAGCUAUAAGGACGAGAGCUAUACUGGACACAUCAGACAAAAAAAUAUCUUUAGUUACGUUCCUUGUUUCCCCCUGGAUAGUGUGGAUAUAAAAACUGUGUCUCGAGCUUGUUUCCAUAGCAGAUACUACUGUGAAGCUUCACACUCGCCUUGUGUCCUUGGCCCCUGUUAAUUCUGCGCACUGGCCCACACCUGUGAAGAUGAUGCGAGCCAAGGCCCUGUAAGUCCUCCGAGUACGGAUGAAUCCUCCAUUCAUUCUGCUUUCCACUCGGAGAAUGACGGACAGAGGUGAGCUCAAACGGAGUCUCGAAGGACAAAGCUUUUCUCUGUGAAAAGGUAACUGGUUCACACCUGCAUCCUGCUUGGAGCCCAGGCCUCAUUAGCACCAUUUUCUAAUCCUGCAGAGAGCUCCCAGCCAGCCCUCCAUGAGCAGGGAGAACAGCGGGUUCUCUGUGCCCUACAGUGGCCAUGUUUGCCUGGAGGAGCCAGGGAACAUCUGGUGAGAUUCUGCACCAUAGGGUGGCUGCAAAACAUUGGAUGUUUGAAUAAACGAACCCCGCAACCGCACCACAGAACACUGGAAGAGAGGGGACUCCUCACUCAAAGCUGCUUUCUCCCUCCCUGCUACAGUCUGAGCAGCAGUUAAACUUCAAAUAACCUCUGUGGUUCCUUCCCUCCUAGGGCAUGAACACAAUCAGAGGACAAGUAGACGGGUGUUUCCAGGAGCCAAUGAAAUAUUUUAUUUAUUUCAAUGGGAAAUCAAGCCAGCUGGCUCUUACAUGAAGCUAUCCCCUGGAAUUCACAAAUGCCACUUUCUUCUCCAUCGUGGAAGAAAAGAUACGUUGUAGUUUGGAACAAAGAUUAAAUAU
rnacentral:lncRNA from 1 species